rnacentral:rRNA from 1 species
CCAGACUCCUACGGGAGGCAGCAGUGGGGAAUAUUGCACAAUGGGCGGAAGCCUGAUGCAGCAACGCCGCGUGCGGGAUGACGGCCUUCGGGUUGUAAACCGCUUUCGCCUGUGACGAAGCGUGAGUGACGGUAAUGGGUAAAGAAGCACCGGCUAACUACGUGCCAGCAGCCGCGGUGAUACGUAGGGUGCGAGCGUUGUCCGGAUUUAUUGGGCGUAAAGGGCUCGUAGGUGGUUGAUCGCGUCGGAAGUGUAAUCUUGGGGCUUAACCCUGAGCGUGCUUUCGAUACGGGUUGACUUGAGGAAGGUAGGGGAGAAUGGAAUUCCUGGUGGAGCGGUGGAAUGCGCAGAUAUCAGGAGGAACACCAGUGGCGAAGGCGGUUCUCUGGGCCUUUCCUGACGCUGAGGAGCGAAAGCGUGGGGAGCGAACAGGCUUAGAUACCCUGGUAGUCCACGCUGUAAGCGGCGGGUACUAGGUGUGGGGUCCAUUCCACGGGUUCCGUGCCGUAGCUAACGCUUUAAGUACCCCGCCUGGGGAGUACGGCCGCAAGGCUAAAACUCAAAGGAAUUGACGGGGGCCCGCACAAG